GGAAGGGUGGCCGAGUGGUUUAAGGCAGCAGUUUGCUAAACUGCGGCGGGUUAAUAGCCUGCCUCAUGGGUUCGAAUCCCAUCCCUUCCG
rnacentral:tRNA from 1 species